rnacentral:rRNA from 1 species
UACGUAGGGCGCAAGCGUUGUCCGGAAUUAUUGGGCGUAAAGAGCUCGUAGGCGGCUUGUCACGUCGAUUGUGAAAGCCCGAGGCUUAACCUCGGGUCUGCAGUCGAUACGGGCUAGCUAGAGUGUGGUAGGGGAGAUCGGAAUUCCUGGUGUAGCGGUGAAAUGCGCAGAUAUCAGGAGGAACACCGGUGGCGAAGGCGCCACUCUGGGCCGGUACUGACGCUGAGGAGCGAAAGCGUGGGGAGCGAACAGG